rnacentral:rRNA from 1 species
GAUGAACGCUGGCGGCGUGCCUAAUACAUGCAAGUCGAGCGAACGGACGAGAAGCUUGCUUCUCUGAUGUUAGCGGCGGACGGGUGAGUAACACGUGGAUAACCUACCUAUAAGACUGGGAUAACUUCGGGAAACCGGAGCUAAUACCGGAUAAUAUUUUGAACCGCAUGGUUCAAAAGUGAAAGACGGUCUUGCUGUCACUUAUAGAUGGAUCCGCGCUGCAUUAGCUAGUUGGUAAGGUAACGGCUUACCAAGGCAACGAUGCAUAGCCGACCUGAGAGGGUGAUCGGCCACACUGGAACUGAGACACGGUCCAGACUCCUACGGGAGGCAGCAGUAGGGAGUCUUCCGCAAUGGGCGAAAGCCUGACGGAGCAACGCCGCGUGAGUGGUGAAGGUCUUCGGAUCGUAAAACUCUGUUAUUAGGGAAGAACAUAUGUGUAAGUAACUGUGCACAUCUCGACGGUACCUAAUCAGAAAGCCACGGCUAACUACGUG